CUCUCUAUAUUUCUCCAUCAAACCUCUCAAUAAAUGUAUAGCUUCCAUAGUAGACCUCCCCGCCAUGAAUCCAAAUUGAUUUUGAAAAAAAAAUUAUAAAUCUAUAUGAAAUAUUAUAAAUUGAUGGUUGACUUUGUGGUGUUGUGGGUGUGAACUGUGAAGUGAUUUGGGGCGGUUUAAUUCAAGGACAAGGUUUUUGUUUUAUGAAUGUUGGGUGUGGCCAAUGGGGGUUUGAUGUUAGUUUUUAUGUGAGAAAGUGGUGUUUAACAGCUUUAGGAUGGAUUUAGCGUUUUAUGUGUGUGAGAGACAGAGGCCAAAUGGGUUAAUCUGGGGUUUAGGGAGGGAAUGAGGAUUGACUAAAUGUGUUUUGAGGGUUGAAGAUAAGGGGAGAAGCCAAUUUGGGUGUUUAGAGUUGAGGUUGUAAAUGGAAAAGGUAGAGGCCGAGAGUUCUGAGGGUUAUGAUUUGGAUUGGUUGGGAGGGAGAUGGUUAAGAGGUGAUGGAAUUAGGAUUUCAAGAUGUAGAGGGGAACAAGAAUUCAUCACCCAAGAAAUUCAACCAAGACAAGCCACCAAGUCAUCCACACAAAAGAAAGAAAGACCCCAAUUCUCAUUUUAAUUAAUAACAAAUCCAUUCAAUUACAAAAUUUAUACAUAUAGUAUGGGCAUGGGAAUUUAAAUUCAAAGUUACUAAAAAUAGCAAAGCAUUUAAAAAUUCAAAAUUAAGGGUAAGCAAGCCUUUAAUGAAAGGUGGAACCACUAUGAAUUGUGCCAAAUCAAUCAAAAUUUCCUAAAAGAGGGGGGUGGGGUGGGAUAACCAAGGCUAGAUCCUAUGAUGCAUCGACACACCUUAUUAUGAAGGUAUGCAUGUAUGAACCAUGACCGUGGUGUCACCCGACACCUACCAUACUUUUCGUAGCGUGAUGGGAAGGCUGGCUCCCCAAUUCCCUCCUAAAAGAGGGAGACAUCGAGACGCUGCCAAAAUUUUGAUUGAAAAUGCACGGGACUUAAGCAAAUACAUGAGACUUGAAUUCAACAGGAUCGUAGGGAAACAAACUUAAAUAAAUCAUAGAAAACCAAAUCUGAGAUUUAAAAUAAAAACUUGUAAUUUACAAAAUAAUAAAAAAAUUUAAACAUACAAGCAAAGGACUUAUGAUGGACAAAUUAAUAAAUGCCACUUGCUUGCAAGCAAUGAGCAGCAGGAGUCAAGGAUAAUGUGUGAUCUAAUUGCAAGAAAACUCACAAAAUCCUUUAAUAAAUAUUGCAAACCACAUAUGCAUGGUAGUAGUUGGUGCAUAGCAUCACAUCAAUCAUGCAAGCAAAUAAGAGAAUGCAACAAUGAAAAUUCUAUCAUCUAGUAGUAUAACAAAAGGUUUGUGAUGUAUACAACAAAUUUCUUAUAAAUGACAACGAGAUAUAUGCAACAAGUAUAACAACUUUCAUGCAGUCGACCUCAACUCAUAAACAAAUACGCCAAACUCCUGCAAAUGACGUCAACCGACAUGCAAUGAUUACAAAGGCACCCUCAUAGGCCACAUCAAGCAAGUAUCUAACAAAUGCAGAAGAUCCUGACAGUGCAAGCAAACAUGUUAACAUAUUUGUGAGUAACGAUAGUGGACAAGUGGCGAAUAUGAUGAAUUCCCCGCAAAUAUUGAUAAAAAGAGAAGUUACAACGAACAUCGCCUACAAGUGACUACAAGGAACAUGUAAUGAAUAUUAUGAUACCCCUCCAGUUAAUGAUAACCAACUCGUAGAUAAGUGCAACAGUUACCCACGAACACUGAAGGUUAACAUACAAUGAGCAUAGUUAGUUGCUGAUGAAUGUUUGUGGUAAAAUCAGCAAUGAAUGCAGCUCACCCAACGAUCAACAUCAGUUUGCAAAUGAACACAUUAAUCUACCUGCAAGCGAUGAUGGAAAAUAUGCUUUAGGUCUAAUGGAUCCCCUGUGAACAUGGACAUGCAACAUGUCAUUUACAAGCAAAGAUUGAUGAUCACGACAAAUGCAAGACCACAACAAAUAUAAGCGCCUACGAGCUGCUACAGAAGAUUUGUUAGUGCACGUCAGUCUACCUACGUAAAGUAAUAAAUAACCCAUAGCUCAACAUUACAAUUCACCUGUAAGUAGAAACAGAGAUUUGUAGUAAAAGUUGCGGGCCAUUAAUAAAUUGUGGCUGUAAACUUGUGGUGUCAGGCUGUCAUAUUAGAUAAAUCAGCUCACUUGCGUGGUACAGCUCACUUGUUGCGUGGUACAACUCACUUGCAAGAAGAAGUGUACUCCUGCAAGCUGAAUAUCAGAGAAAAUAAUAACGUGCAGAUGAUUAAAAGAACUAAACUACACUAUCAACAAACAAUGAAUGAAGUGCAAUGCCACGUCACCAGAUUCACAACAUCCAUACAAGUAGGCAUAAGGCUUUUACAGGCUUUUAAAUGAAAUUUUGUAAUUGAUGAUAGCUGCAUGUUGCAAAAGCAACACCCUCAUGCAUCAAAAUGCACACCGAUAAGUUCAUAGUAUGCAUACAUUGGCAAUAUGCAGGAUACAUCAUGCAAACACGUAACUUAAUAUGCAAGAUGCGCUACGUUGUGGCGACACAUAGCAUUAACAUGCAGAAUGCAUCAUGCAUGUAUAUACUACACUAUACAAAAUACAUUAUGCAAAUACGCGACCCAACAUGUGCGCUGAUAUGCAAAUAUAUCAUGCAAUCAUUGAAUUAUCAUGCAAAUGUAUUAUCCGAAUAAAUGUACAAAAGCAAAAUGUCACAUACAUGCAUGUCAUGCAAAUUCACUAUACACUAUGUUAAUGCAUCCAGACGCUAUGUUGAAUAUCAGCAUAUCAUGCAAACAUGAUUAAACAAUGCGCAAAUAUGUUGCUCACAUAUACAUACAUGCAUGCAAAUACACAAGUACAUACGUGCGAUAUUAACAUGUAAAUGAAAGUAUAAGUGUGUAUGUAAGCGUGCAAAUAUAUAUAUGAAAAUAUAUGUAAUUAAAUACCUGUAUGGGCCCCA